CUUACACAUUUUUCUCCAAAUGUCUCAAGUUUCAGACUUUUUAACUGUGUGAGUAUCACCGACUCUCUGACUCUGUCUACAUCGUUAAUGUGACUUCUGCUUGUGUGACGUGUCACACGGCUCCCUUAAAUCAUUUUGGUUAUAAAGUGUGUUAACCACAGGAGGAGGAGUGACUGAGAGCAGAGAGGAGGAGCAGAGAUUCAGGGAGGAGCUGAGCUGUUACUGAACUAUAGAAGAGAGAAAAACCUCCACAUUCAACAGAGUUCAACACAAAACAAACUUUAUGUUCCUCAACAUGCUGUCAUUACAUCACUGUGUGUUUCCUUCAUGGCUUCUCUUCCUGUUAACAGGUGUGAUCUGUGAGGAGCUCACAGCACUCGACGAUCAGAAAUCCAGUUUAGAACAAAGCACUGUGACUCUGUCCUAUAAAUACUCCAGACAAGCAGCUCCUGGUGAUUAUUUCUUCUGGUAUCGACAAUAUCCUGGAAAAUCUCCAGAGUUCCUGAUCUCUCAUUCAGAGAAAGGACAGCUGACAUCAGAUCCAGUCAUUAGACUGUCUGUGAAAGUGAACGCUGAUCAAACACUGAUGACUCUUCAGAUCUCCUCUGCUGCAGUGACAGACUCUGCUGUGUACUACUGUGCUGUGAAGCCCACAGUGACAGGAAACACCAAAACUCUGUACAAAAACCUUUGGAGCAAAGACAACAGAAUACUCCACAACAUCCACUAGAGGGAGCCACACACUGUUAAACCUCUGAUUCUUGUGUCAUUGGACUGAUGACAAAGACAACAGAGAAACGUGACUAUCCAGUUCUGGGACCAGGAGUUGCAGUUUUAACAGUCGUCCA